rnacentral:lncRNA from 1 species
AUUGUGUUUUCACUAAUAAACUCACAAGUGCAGUCAUCUUGUUGAGUAUUCCGCUUUCGUUUGUCCGUAUAAAUGAUUAACCUCCAAUGCAAAUGAAAGUGCAUGUUCACCACCAAUCCUAGAACCUCAAGAUACCUUUAAGUGUGUUGUUUUAUAUGGACAGGCUGUAAUGUUACUAGUUCUGCCAUUUAUGCAGUUACUGUAUUAAAAUUUACUAUUUCUUGUUUCUUUAGUGGUUAGACAAUUGUAAGAGGACAUUUGGUGCCAAAGAGGACAUGUAUAGGAUAAACACAGAUGCACAGGUAAGUCUCUUACCCUUGUUCUGGCCGCGUUUCUGUAUCGGGUAAAACAAAUGUGUGAUCAAAUGUCCUCACCUGCUACUCCUGAAAAUAGAAAAUAUUUGUAAACCUUUUCAUUUUGGUUAUCAGAAUAAUCUCUGUAAAAGUUAUGUUGAAUGAAAUAUUGGCUUAGUAAUGAAAAAUUCACUUUAAUAAAACUGAAAGGCCAGCUUGUGACUGAAGCUUAAUAACAUUCCCUAGAUAAGCCUGAUGGCUAUCUGACAGUCCAGGUUGGCUUUUAGUUGCAUCUGCCUUUAGAAAAGUAAAAAAUUGUUCUGCAUUAGUAUUCUGCAAAUAAAUUGUCUGGUCAGGAAAGCAAAUCUAAGAGUAACAGGAUAAAUAUCCAUAUUAGCCUAUCUAAGGGUGAAUAAAUUAUGCCUGGAUAAAUUAUGAUGAUUUCCUCUAGUAUGAAGUCCUUAUGGAUGCAAGGCCCUUUUUAUACAACUUAAUCUGCUCUCUGUCCCUUUGUGCCAGUACUGUCUUUUGCAGAAUAAGCAAUCAAUAUUUAUUGAACGUACAUGCAAAUUUCAGUGUACUUACAAGCAACAAUUUAAAUCAUACAUAUAUAGGUUCAUCAGCAAAAACUACACUUUUAGCAUAUUUAGACUAAUCUUUGAUAAUUCAGAGUUGUGGAAUGACAUUUUUGUUGUUUCCUGUCAUCGUGAUGGUCAGAGGCUCUGGUUUGUUUUCCAUUAUAUCUCAAAGUAGAGGCUACAGAUAUGUACACAUUGAGCCAGUUCUAUUGUAUUUAUGCUAAUCUAAAUUAUAUGAAAUAAAACCUCAAGUAUAACCUCAGGCUAAUAUGCCUGACAUUGGAUUGUACUCAGCUAAUGUUUACAGGAUGUGACUAGCCAAGUAAUUUAUGGUAAGCAGAAUGGAGCUAAAGUUCACCUUUGCUUAGCAAAUCCUUUCUAAAUUGCUAGGAAUAAAUGUUAUAUAAACAGUCCUUCAGAGGAAACUAUUUAUAAAAGCAGGCUUAAGAAUGACUUUUAGAAGCUACAUUUACAUGAAGUCAUUCUUUGAAACCACUUCCAAGUUGCUAUCAAUAUUUUAAUGUAAUUUUCAAGAACAUAAAUUAAAACUUUUCACUAUGUGUUUUACAUACAUUAUCUCUUUGAUUCAAACCUAGUUAGGUCCAAUUUCUGAAACUUACUAAAUUACAUUUGGAAUGCAAUGUAAAACACAUCUGCUUUUGAUAUUCUGCCCUGUGGCUCACUCAGCACCAAUAGAGGGAACCUAGCACCUAAUUAGACAUUAAACAGUAGGAAGCCUAGAAUGAGCUACUCCAGAGACGAUCUCCUCAUGGGUGAGUAUAUAUUAAGUAAGAUUGUUGUGUGAGAUUAUAAGCCAGUCCACUCCUGAAAAAACAAUUCAUUUGCUUAUUUUCUAACUGUAAGUUGUCGGCUUUAUUAAUGGGAAGUUUUAUUGCAGUUGGGUUUUGUUUGAGGAUUUCUGGAAAGGAUAUAAAAAUAGAAACUUACAGUAGUCAAGUUUCUCAACAUCACAUUAGUUCUAUUUGAUUCUUGAUAUUGUCUACACAAAAAUAAACUAUAGCUUAAAUGUUUUUCAGUUAAUUGGCAAAGAAUUUUAAAUAAGCACCCUGAAUUGCUGCAAUAAAUGUCUAGAAAACUGUAUUCUGGAAAUACAAAAUUUUCUUUGGGGUGUGAAUAUAUGUUCUUCAGUUUGCCUGGGACAUCUGUGACCCUACUUAAAAUGAUUCUUACACUAAUUCUUGGUCUUUUUCUUUCUUUGUAUUUUUUGUGACCCGAUCACCUUCUUGCUUAGCAAAUGGAAAUUCUAGCAGUAAGUGACCUGUCUUGAUUUAUAGACUACUUACCCUUGCCAGACAAACUGGUUUUCAUCUGCCAUUGUCCUUUUGUGACCUAGUAAUGUUUUGUCAUGGACUACUUUAAAAGUAGUGUGUGCUUCAAUUUUGAUAGCCUUAAUCCAUGAAAUGUUGAUUGAAUAAAAUGAGAUUUUAUAAUAUGUAUGUACAACUAGCAGUUGCCUUUUUCUUCACCUAUAACUAACCUAUCUCCCUUUAAAUUUUUUUAAUUUAAAAAAUCAGAGUGCACAUGUUAAUUUCAUAGUCUCAUGUCAAUGAGACUACCAAGUGGUUUUCUUUAGAAAAAUGACUUCAUUUUAAAGACAGACUUUUCUACCCUUUAGGUAAGAGGUUACCCAGUUUCACUUUGCUUUAUCAAGCACUUGUGGAUAAAUGUAAUGAGAUCUACAUCUCGAUGUGAGAGCUACAGCUCAAUGGGGGCAAAAGUCUAUGCAUUUAUAAAUUCUUUCAUUAUGAAUUUAAAGUUUUAAAUUACAGUGAACCCUUUUUAAACAUCCAAUAUAUUGCCUUCUGAUAUAUUAUACUUAUCCAAUGUAAAAUGUACUUUAUACAAAAAGUGAAUUAGUAACCAACAAUGAUCCUUGUUUUUAUUUUAAUGCCUGUCCUCAAAGCAUCUUUCAUCUGUCUUUCAUCAGCUUUACACCAUAUUAACUUGCUUACUGCAGAAAAAUAAAUGCCAAGACAAAUUUAACAUAAUGAUUUAUAAUUCUUUUUACUGGAAAUAUGCUGUAUAGCCAAACAUAAAAAAUCCCACCUAAAUUUAAUGUACUGUUAUCUAUUUCUAGGAACUGGAGCUCUGCCGAAGGUUAUACAAAUUGCAUUUUCAAUUGCUGCUUCUGUUCCAGGCCUACUGUAAACUUAUCAACCAAGUAAAUACAAUAAAAAAUGAAGCAGAGGUAAAUAUUAAGUUGUCCUAGGCAUCAGUAACUGAAACACUAAAGUAUACAUACAUUUGUUAGGCUAGCUAACAUCAAAAGUCACUUACCUUGAAUCAUUUUCUUCAGUUGAGGAAUUUUUUUUUUUUUUAAAUGAUGUCCUAUGCCAGGACGUUAUUAGUGAAUCAGACAGCAAGUACUGGAUUCAGAGGUUCAAGACCUUACCGGUUUCUGAAGUAUAAACAGAUCAUGUGUAAUCAAAAGUCAAGCAAAGCACCUCAGUAAAAACCAAAUUGUACAGUGAAACCCCAACAUCCUGUCCAUGGAAUGUCUCUCCCGUUCUGUGAAUGCAACAAGAACAAACGGGUUAAAAACACCUGGGAUGUUGAAAAUCUUUAAUGUGUAGGUUCGUGGGUAAUGACUUCUCCUUUCCCCUUACCAGCUGGUACUAAAGCUCUCAUUAGGAAAAUGAUUUUUUUAAAUUGUUAAAUCCCUGAAAAUAUGUGUACAUAUGUUCAUGCUUUAAAAGUUUAACCAGUGAAUUUAUAAAGACUACUGUCAAAAAAGUUUUCAUGGUUCUCCCCCAUAAAUGUUUUUUACUACCCAAAUCAUAACAUGUAAUCACGUUAAAAUUAUCAUUCUGUAAGUUACAACUCAUUGCUGCUUUGUUAAGAAUUUUUAAAGCCUAUUCUGUGACUGGGAUUACUUAUUCCCACUGAAUAGAAAACAUGAAAUCUUAACUGCCCCUACUUCUAAGUUUAACAAAUGAGAGAAAACGCUUCCCCCAUCAGGUGUCUCCUCAUAGCCAGGUAAAUGCUUUGUGGUACUGACUAUGGGAAUGGGUCCCUAAAGGUGUAUUUGUUUUAGGUCAUCAACAUGUCAGAGGAACUUGCCCAGCUGGAAAGUAUCCUCAAAGAAGCUGAAGCUGCUUCUGAAAAUGAAGAAAUUGACAUUUCCAAAGCUGCACAAACCACUAUAGAAACUGCCAUUCAUUCUCUAAUUGAAACUUUGAAAAAUAAGGAAUUUAUAUCAGCUGUAGCACAAGUCAAAGCUUUCAGGUAAAAUGUGAAAGGAUUUAAAGAUAAAGAUGCCAUUAUGUAACUGGACUGGAAAUUUAUAAAGUUUAGGUUUUGGUUCUCGGUUUGAUAUUUCAAUAGCAUGUCUUUGUGAAGGGAAAAAUCCACGUUUAUUUUCAGUAGUUAUCACUGAAAUGAUACCAAUUUCAGAUUUUUUUCACUCUCAGGUGGUACUUUGAGUAAUAUAUUUGCUCAAACAAUUAAAAACAGGUCACUGGGCUGGGCAUCGGGCUUGGUAGUACAUACCUGUAAUCUCAGCAACUCGGGAGGCUAAGGAAGAUCACAGUUAGAAGCCAGCCUCAGCAACUUAGUGAGACCCUGUGUCGAAAUAAAAUACAAAAGCUGGGGAUGUGACUCAGUGGUUAAGUACCCCAGGAUUCAAACCCCAGUACCCAACAAAAAAAGGGCGGUUGGGUGGGGGAGUGGGGAUAUGGCCCAGUAGUAGAGCAUGCCUGGAUUCAGUUCCUGGUACUAUGGACACACAAAACAGGCUUCGUGUUAUUCACCAGGAAGUUUUGUGAUAUAUCAGUUAACUUAAAAUGUAGUUAAUCUUAACUAACAAUUGUUUGCACCUCAGAAUUUAAAAAGAAUAUGUGUUUUCAGAUCUCUCUGGCCCAAUGACAUUUUCGGCAGCUGUGAGGAUGACCCUGUGCAGACGCUGUUACACAUCUAUUUUCAUCACCAGACACUGGGUCAGACGGGCAGCUUUGCAGUUAUAGGCUCCAACCUGGACAUGUCAGAAGCCAACUACAAAUUGAUGGAGCUUAAUCUGGAGAUAAGAGAGUCUCUACGCAUGGUGCAGUCAUACCAACUUCUAGCACAGGCCAAACCCAUUGGAAAUAUGGUGAGCACUGGAUUCUGAGAAACUUCAAACAUUUUGGAGAGAAACUAAACUGAUGAUUAAGAAUAUUAACCAAGCACCUUUUAUGAACCCUUGUGAUUCACUGAUAACUUUCCUGGCAGCAUCUACAAUUGUAAUGUAACUAAUGUCAAACUGUAUCUGAAGGACAAGAAAAUCUAACAGCUGCCAAUACCUCCCACAGUAACUGUAUGAAGAAGGAAUUUUUUAAAUUAUUUAACCUAUGUGAAAAGAAAAGGGCUAAAAGUGAUGCAUACAAAUACAUUGCUUUCUGGAGAAAGAAAAGAAUUCCAAGAAUGUUUGCAAUAAUGGCCUCUAAUACUGAGACAUCAGAAAGCAGGUGAAAUGAGGCUGAAAUCAAGGCUGGUUCAUUUUAGCCGAAGACCUGCAAAGCUGCUUGGAUUUCUUGCAGCCAUCAACAUCACCUACAACUGAUGCUUAAUCACCCAACACGAACAUCCAGACCGAUAUAUAGACUUAUUUGCAAAAACCAUUGAUUUUUUUUUUCCCCUCAAUUUAUGGGAUAAGGGUUUGGGGUGUUUUGUUUUUUGGUCUGUGUAAAGAAUUAUGUGUGUGUGAGUUGGGAUGUAUGGAUACGUGAUAGUCAUAUUUUCAAGGUGUGGAUGUCUGGUGAUAACGUCUCAGAGCAUGCCUAAAAGAGCACUGCAAGAUUAUUUUUGAAGAAAUUUUAUUUUAUUAGAUCUAACUCUUCAUAGUGUGUAAAUGUUAGAACAUUUUAAUAAUAUUUUAAAACUGGGCUCUCCCAGUAUUUCAAAAAGAAAUAAUAUAUCUGUUAACGUUAUUGGAAUGCUGCUCAGUUCUCUGAUCAGUGCUUAUGUUACAAAAUUGUUGAUAACUAACCAAAGUAGAUGCCUGCAGAGACUUUAAAAUGUAAAAUAAAGAUGUAUGCUGCCCGUCAGCUAUUCUCAUUAGAAAAGUUAACUUAUUUUACACCAUAAUUAUUCUAGAAACUGUAUAGACUAAACCCAAUAUUUUCUUGUACAUUCGUGCCAUGCACUGUUAUACAAGAAUAGGUGUACAAAGCUAGAGGAAAAACUUUGGUCAUUGAUGGGAGAAUAUAUGGUCUGCAGGCUCUGAAGUCUGCAAAGAGAUGCAAAUGCAUUUUUAUGUUUAUUCAGGACUCACAUGUGUCGUGCUAAAGGAACCUGGGGCUAGAGGGGAGAUGAAAGGCAGCCUGAAGACUACCAAAACACGCAAUAUACUUACUAAGUCUGUAGCAUAACACGAACUGGAUUCUCUGUCCUUUUUUAAAUAGCAUUUUGUAAAAGAAAUGAAUGUAGUCCCACAAUUCCUCUGAUUUGAAAGGAACACCUUGUAUUUUUUAUAUGCAUCUCUUAUCCACUGUGACUAUUCUUUUAAACUGGGCUCUGACUACUUCAGAGUUUGGAAUGUAGAAAUGAAAUGCUUAGCUUUGCCUUUUCUUGGGGGUGUGAACCCUGCCAGAAAUGUAAUUAUGCUCAAGUGCAUUAAUUGAAGGCACUGUGCACGCCGUUGGACUGCUGACUCUAGUUGUUUCCUGUAAAAUUCCAUAACUGGUCACGGCACAUUCAUAAUCACUGUAUUUUUUGACCCUGAUAAAAACAAUUAUUUUAAUGGUGUUCUGGUACUGUAAAUGGUGUCCUUUAAAUUAUUUAAUAACUUCGGGUGUUGGGGCAGGCAGAGAGGGGGGUGUCCAGAGACACAUCACACUUUAUAUCCUAUCUUAACUCUCCCCUAUUUUUCUCGCCCUCCUUACAUUCUUUUUGUUAAAAAUAAAAAACAUUGUAGCUGUUGGUUUGUGUGGUAUUUUGAGAAAGCAUGAAUGACGAUAGUGUGCAUCAUUUUUACUUUGAAAAUUACUUUGGGGCUGGGGAUGUGGCUCA